AUAGAGCUGCAAAGCCGGCCAUUAAACUGUCUGCUCCUUCCUGUUUGAACAGGGCCUCUCCAGGGCUUUUGCUGCCUCAACCACCGUGGGUCAACCUCCAGGAAGGAAGACGUUUCUAAGGAAACCGCGGAGGCCUUCCACCAAGGUGGCUGCAUGAAAGCGCUGAGCUGGUGAGAGUGACAAAAAGCAGUUCAUUGGAUAACGUAGAAAAAGCUUUACCUGAUUAUCUGGAGCCAGCAAAGAAAGACAUAACUUCAGGCUUCUUAAGAUCUACAGAUGAGGAACUUCGGAGUCCCGGCAGUGUGUGCAGAAACGAUCAGCAUCCUGGUACCGACCUUUUAUUGCCAAUACUCACACACCCUUCUCCAGCAAUGUGGUCCUCUCUGCUUCCCACCGCUCAUCCUCCUGCUCACCAGCACAUACCCACAGCUUCCUGAGCUGGGAUUUCACGGGGAAUCUGGUCCUCAGAGCCAUUAGGGUGCUGCCAAGCUUCACCAGGCUGCCAAACACUUUCCAGGUAAAGCUUGGUGCUUGCUGUGCUGGAUCCAGCCCAUGAGCAUCCUCCCAUGGAGGACCACGCGAAUUGUCCCCACCCCAGGGCUGGCGCUGCACGUCUGGAGCUGCUCGUGGCCGCCCCCUCUUUUGGCACCACCGCUCCCCAUUGAUGCCCCCCAGGGACUAAAUUCAUCACUUUUCAAACCCACAGCUUUGGAGUGGGUUUAAAAUUUUCCCCAGGCACAUUCCUACGGCCUCUAGUUUCCAAACUCUCAGGAAUUUGCCACACAAACAUGCUCCUUCCCUUCAUUUGUUUCUUCCAAGUAAUUAGAUUGGGGAUUGUUUGCUACCUGUCAUACCUUGGUUUAAGCCGUUUGGGAACAAAGUGGGAAAAGAAAAAAAAAAAAUAGAGGCUCGAAGUGGAUUAAGGCUGCUGAUUGUAGUAACAAGAGGAGGUAUUUUAAUGACAGGUUUAAGACUUGCUAAGUAACUGCCAUGAGGAUUAUGAAUAUAUUUUGUAACAGGGUAAUAUUAACAGAUAAUCCUUUUUUUUUUUUUUGAAAAAAAAAAAAGAAAGAAAAAAAAAGAUGUCAAAUGGAUUUUUCAAAAGAAAAAUAAACUGCAAAAACACCAAAAACCUUUCA
rnacentral:lncRNA from 1 species